rnacentral:rRNA from 1 species
UACGUAGGGCGCGAGCGUUGUCCGGAAUUAUUGGGCGUAAAGAGCUCGUAGGCGGCCUGUUGCGUCCGCUGUGAAAUCCCGGGGCUCAACCCUGGGCGUGCAGUGGAUACGGGCAGGCUGGAGGCAGGCAGGGGAGAAGGGAAUUCCCGGUGUAGCGGUAAAAUGCGCAGAUAUCGGGAGGAACACCGGUGGCGAAGGCGGUUCUCUGGGCCUGUGCUGACGCUGAGGAGCGAAAGCGUGGGGAGCGAACAGG